UUCUAGAUCUAGUCUAUGUCAAUCUAGAUCUAGAAUCCAAAUAAAAAACUGUAGAAAUAUUAAGUAUGAAUGUCAACUUAUUUGAUGAGCUAGAUGUAGGUCAGUAGCUGUAAUCUCUAAUUUACUAGACAAACGAUAAUGUCUAUUUCAACAAAUAGAUAAUGAUCUAGUUUCUAGUGACCGAGUCUUGUCUAGAUAUUUAGUCUAGACUAAACCUCGACUAAAUAUUAUGUAAAUA